GAUGAACGCUGGCGGCGUGCCUAAUACAUGCAAGUCGAGCGAACAGAUGAGGAGCUUGCUCCUCUGACGUUAGCGGCGGACGGGUGAGUAACACGUGGAUAACCUACCUAUAAGACUGGGAUAACUUCGGGAAACCGGAGCUAAUACCGGAUAAUAUAUUGAACCGCAUGGUUCAAUAGUGAAAGACGGUUUUGCUGUCACUUAUAGAUGGAUCCGCGCCGCAUUAGCUAGUUGGUAAGGUAACGGCUUACCAAGGCAACGAUGCGUAGCCGACCUGAGAGGGUGAUCGGCCACACCGGAACUGAGACACGGUCCAGACUCCUACGGGAGGCAGCAGUAGGGAAUCUUCCGCAAUGGGCGAAAGCCUGACGGAGCAACGCCGCGUGAGUGAUGAAGGUCUUCGGAUCGUAAAACUCUGUUAUUAGGGAAGAACAAAUGUGUAAGUAACUAUGCACGUCUGGACGGUACCUAAUCAGAAAGCCACGGCUAACUACGU
rnacentral:rRNA from 1 species